GGAAUCUUCCACAAUGGACGCAAGUCUGAUGGAGCAACGCCGCGUGAGUGAAGAAGAUCUUCGGAUCGUAAAACUCUGUUGUUAGAGAAGAACACGAGUGAGAGUAACUGUUCAUUCGAUGACGGUAUCUAACCAGCAAGUCACGGCUAACUACGUGUCAG
rnacentral:rRNA from 1 species